rnacentral:rRNA from 1 species
GACGAACGCUGGCGGCGUGCCUAAUACAUGCAAGUAGGACGCACAGUUUAUACCGUAGCUUGCUACACCAUAGACUGUGAGUUGCGAACGGGUGAGUAACGCGUAGGUAACCUGCCUAUUAGAGGGGGAUAACUAUUGGAAACGAUAGCUAAUACCGCAUAACAGUAUGUAACACAUGUUAGAUGCUUGAAAGAUGCAAUUGCAUCGCUAGUGGAUGGACCUGCGUUGUAUUAGCUAGUAGGUAGGGUAAUGGCCUACCUAGGCGACGAUACAUAGCCGACCUGAGAGGGUGAUCGGCCACACUGGGACUGAGACACGGCCCAGACUCCUACGGGAGGCAGCAGUAGGGAAUCUUCGGCAAUGGGGGGAACCCUGACCGAGCAACGCCGCGUGAGUGAAGAAGGUUUUCGGAUCGUAAAGCUCUGUUGUUAAGGAAGAACGAGUGUGAAAAUGGAAAGUUCAUACUGUGACGGUACUUAACCAGAAAGGGACGGCUAACUACGUGCCAGCAGCCGCGGUAAUACGUAGGUCCCGAGCGUUGUCCGGAUUUAUUGGGCGUAAAGCGAGCGCAGGCGGUUAGAAAAGUCUGAAGUGAAAGGCAGUGGCUCAACCAUUGUAGGCUUUGGAAACUGUUUAACUUGAGUGCAGAAGGGGAGAGUGGGAAUUCCAUGUGUAGCGGUGAAAUGCGUAGAUAUAUGGAGGAACACCGGGUGGCCGAAAGCGGCUCUCUGGUCUGUAACUGACGCUGAGGCUCGAAAGCGUGGGGGAGCGAACAGG